rnacentral:misc_RNA from 1 species
GUCGAGGAUGCUCGAAAAUCAUGCCUCCUUGUCAAUGCCCCUUUGAUUCAUAGAGCCACUUCUCGAGUUCCAUUCUCCAUCCUCAAGUAUGCUAUGACUCUUGAUGGAAAAAUAGCUGCCAGUACUGGACACGCAGCAUGGAUAAGUAGCAGAAAGUCAAGGAAUCGAGUUUUUGAACUGCGAGGCAGAAGUGAUGCCAUUAUUGUUGGAGGAAAUACUGUACGCAGGGACAAUCCUCGAUUGACAGCUAGACAUGGUGGUGGGCAUAUGCCUAUGAGAAUUGUAAUGUCACAGACACUUGAUCUUCCUGAGGAAGCAAUUCUUUGGGAUGUUUCUGAUGUUUCUACCAUAGUU